rnacentral:rRNA from 1 species
UACGGGGGGGGCAAGCGUUGUUCGGAAUUACUGGGCGUAAAGGGCUCGUAGGCGGCCAACUAAGUCAUACGUGAAAUCCCUCAGCUUAACUGGGGAACUGCGUGUGAUACUGGAUGGCUUGGAUUUGGGAGAGGGAUGCGGAAUUCCAGGUGUAGCGGUGAAAUGCGUAGAUAUCUGGAGGAACACCGGUGGCGAAGGCGGCAUCCUGGACCAAUAUUGACGCUGAUGAGCGAAAGCCAGGGGAGCAAACGGG